UACGGAGGGUGCAAGCGUUAUCCGGAUUCACUGGGUUUAAAGGGUGCGUAGGCGGGUAGGUAAGUCCGUGGUGAAAUCUCUGAGCUUAACUCAGAAACUGCCGUGGAUACUAUUUGCCUUGAAUAUUGUGGAGGUGAGCGGAAUAUGUCACGUAGCGGUGAAAUGCUUAGAUAUGACAUAGAACACCAAUUGCGAAGGCAGCUCACUACACAAUGAUUGACGCUGAGGCACGAAAGCGUGGGGAUCAAACAGG
rnacentral:rRNA from 1 species